GUGGGGAAUCUUGCGCAAUGGGCGAAAGCCUGACGCAGCCAUGCCGCGUGAAUGAUGAAGGUCUUAGGAUUGUAAAAUUCUUUCACCGGGGACGAUAAUGACGGUACCCGGAGAAGUAGCUCCGGCUAACUUCGUGCCAGCAGCCGCGGUAAUACGAACGGGGCUAGCGUUGCUCGGAAUUACUGGGCGUAAAGGGCGCGUAGGCGGACAGCUUAGUCAGAGGUGAAAGCCCAGGGCUCAACCUUGGAAUUGCCUUUGAUACUGGCUGUCUUGAGUUUGGGAGAGGUGAGUGGAACUCCGAGUGUAGAGGUGAAAUUCGUAGAUAUUCGGAAGAACACCAGUGGCGAAGGCGACUCACUGGCCCAAUACUGACGCUGAGGCGCGAAAGCGUGGGGAGCAAACAGGAUUAGAAACCCUUGUAGUCC
rnacentral:rRNA from 1 species